UACAGAGGUCUCAAGCGUUGUUCGGAUUCAUUGGGCGUAAAGGGUGCGUAGGUGGCGCCAUAAGUCGGGUGUGAAAUCUCGGGGCUUAACUCCGAAACUGCAUUCGAUACUGUGGUGCUUGAGGACUGGAGAGGAGACUGGAAUUCAUGGUGUAGCAGUGAAAUGCGUAGAGAUCAUGAGGAAGACCAGUGGCGAAGGCGGUUGCCUGGAGCUUUGCUGACGCUGAUGCGCGAAAGCGUGGGGAGCGAUCCGG
rnacentral:rRNA from 1 species